GACGAGUCUCACAAACGUUAUUCGGAAUUACUGGGCUUAAAGGGUGCGUAGGCGGUGAUGUAAGACAGGUGUGAAAUCCCCGGGCUUAACCUGGGAACUGCAUUUGUGACUGCAUCGCUGGAGUGCGGCAGAGGGGGAUGGAAUUCCGCGUGUAGCAGUGAAAUGCGUAGAUAUGCGGAGGAACACCGAUGGCGAAGGCAAUCCCCUGGGCCUGCACUGACGCUCAUGCACGAAAGCGUGGGGAGCAAACAGG
rnacentral:rRNA from 1 species